rnacentral:rRNA from 1 species
GAUGAACGCUGGCGGCGUGCCUAAUACAUGCAAGUCGAGCGAACAGACGAUGAGCUUGCUCCUCUGACGUUAGCGGCGGACGGGUGAGUAACACGUAGAUAACCUACCUAUAAGACUGGGAUAACUUCGGGAAACCGGAGCUAAUACCGGAUAAUAUAUUGAACCGCAUGGUUCAAUAGUUAAAGACGGUUUUGCUGUCACUUAUAGAUGGAUCCGCGCCGCAUUAGCUAGUUGGUAAGGUAACGGCUUACCAAGGCAACGAUGCGUAGCCGACCUGAGAGGGUGAUCGGCCACACUGGAACUGAGACACGGUCCAGACUCCUACGGGAGGCAGCAGUAGGGAAUCUUCCGCAAUGGGCGCAAGCCUGACGGAGCCACGCCGCGUGAGUGAUGAAGGUCUUCGGAUCGUAAAACUCUGUUAUUAGGGAAGAACAAAUGUGUAAGUAACUAUGCACGUCUUGACGGUACCUAAUCAGAAAGCCACGGCUAACUACGUG